AUAAUUAUUUAUUAUUUUCUGCUUUUAGUUGGUUUUGAUGUACUAAUUCAUAUCUGUGAGCUCUAAUCAAGUCAACUGAAGUCUCCUUAGUGAUGGUGAAUUAUAUUGGCUUAUAGAAGAAGGUCAAGUUAUUGGAGACAUUGUGGGUCAUCCAUUGAUAAAAGCAGAGAGGUGAUUGUGAAAAGAUUUACAGAUACCAGAGAAGUUUCAUUUCAAGGAGAACACCAAUCGUUUGCAAGGAUCUGAUCGAACAUCUCAAAUACACUUCAUUCUGAGUGUGGAAUUUUACUGCAGAUUCUCUUACCUAGAAGAUUCUCAAGCUCAAAUAGCAUCAUCACAGUUGGGUAU